GAUGAACGCUGGCGGCGUGCCUAAUACAUGCAAGUCGAGCGAACAGAUAAGGAGCUUGCUCCUUUGACGUUAGCGGCGGACGGGUGAGUAACACGUGGGUAACCUACCUAUAAGACUGGAAUAACUCCGGGAAACCGGGGCUAAUGCCGGAUAACAUUUAGAACCGCAUGGUUCUAAAGUGAAAGAUGGUUUUGCUAUCACUUAUAGAUGGACCGGCGCCGUAUUAGCUAGUUGGUAUGGUAACGGUAUACCAAGGCAACGAUACGUAGCCGACCUGAGAGGGUGAUCGGCCAGACUGGAACUGAGACACGGUACAGAGUCCUACGGGAGGCAGCAGUAGGGAAUCUUCCGCAAUGGGCGAAAGCCUGACGGAGCAAAGCCGCGUGAGUGAUGAAGGUCUUAGGAUCGUAAAACUCUGUUAUUAGGGAAGAACAAAUGUGUAAGUAAAUGUGCACGUCUUGACGGUAACUAAUCAGAAAGCCACGGCUAACUACGUG
rnacentral:rRNA from 1 species